rnacentral:rRNA from 1 species
GGUCAAUGGGCGAGAGCCUGAACCAGCCAUGCCGCGUGCAGGAUGAAGGUUCUAUGAAUCGUAAACUGCUUCCCUACAGGAAGAAACCUACCCUCGUGAGGGUAGCUGCCGGUACUGUAGGAAUAAGCACCGGCUAACUCCGUGCCAGCAGCCGCGGUAAUACGGAGGGYGCAACGVVNCAUCCGGAUYUAUUGGGUUUAAAGGGUGCGUAGGCGGAAUAUUAAGUCAGUGGUGAAAUCCUGCGGCUCAACCGUAGAACUGCCAUCGAUACUGAUAUUCUUGAAUGUAGUUGAGGUAGGCGGAAUGUGUAAUGUAGCGGUGAAAUGCUUAGAUAUUACACAGAACACCGAUUGCGAAGGCAGCUUACUAAACUAUGAUUGACGCUGAGGCACGAAAGCGUGGGGAGCGAACAGGAUUAGAUACCCUGGUAGUCCACGCUGUAAACGAUGAUCACUCGUUGUUUGCGAUAUAUUGUAAGCGACUGAGCGAAAGCAUUAAGUGAUCCAC